rnacentral:rRNA from 1 species
GACGAACGCUGGCGGCGUGCUUAACACAUGCAAGUCGAACGGAAAGGCCCUGCUUUUUUGCGGUGCUCGAGUGGCGAACGGGUGCGUAACACGUGAGUAACCUGCCCUUGACUUUGGGAUAACUUCAGGAAACUGGGGCUACUACCAUAUAGGAGCUCCUGCUCCAUGGUGGGGGUUGGAACUUUUCGGCUGGUGGGGUUGGACUCGCGGCUUAUCAGCUUGUUGGUUGGGGAGUGGCUGACCAAGGCUGUGGCGGGUAGCCGGCAUGAGAGGGGGGACGGCGACAAGGGGACUACGAGAGGGAGCAGACUGCAACGGUAGGCAGCAGUGGGGAAUAUUGCACAAUGGGCGGGAGCCUGAUGAAGCAGCGCCGCGUGCGGAAUGACGGCCUUCGGGUUGUGAAAAGCUGUCGCCUAUGACGAAGCGGGAGUGACGGUACUGGGUAAAGAAGCACCGGCUAACUACGUG